rnacentral:rRNA from 1 species
AUUGAACGCUGGCGGCAGGCCUAACACAUGCAAGUCGAGCGGAGCGGCUGACGGGUGAGUAAUGCCUAGGAAUCUGCCUGGUAGUGGGGGAUAACGUCCGGAACCGGGCGCUAAUACCGCAUACUAUCAGAUGAGCCUAGUGCGGAUUGGCUAGUUGGUGGGGUAAAGGCCUACCAAGGCGACGAUCCGUAACUGGGCUGAGAGGAUGAUCAGUCACACGGGAACUGAGACACGGUCCAGACUCCUACGGGAGGAAGCAGUGGGGAAUAGUGGAAAAGGGGCGAAAGCCGGAUCCAGCCAUGCCGCGUGUGUGAAGAAGGUCUUCGGAUUGUAAAGCACUUUAAGUUGGGAGGCGUUACCAACAGAAUAAGCACCGGCUAACUUCGUGCCAGCAGCCGCGGUAAUAC